rnacentral:rRNA from 1 species
GACCUUCGGGCCUCGCGCUAUAGGGUUGGCCGAUGGCUGAUUAGCUAGUUGGUGGGGUAAAGGCCCACCAAGGCGACCAUCAGUAGCUGGUCUGAGAGGACGACCAGCCACACUGGGACUGAGACACGGCCCAGACUCCUACUGGAGGCAGCUGUGGGGAAUUUUGGACAAUGGGCGAAAGCCUGAUCCAGCAAUGCCGCGUGUGUGAAGAAGGCCUUCGGGUUGUAAAGCACUUUUGUCCGGAAAGAAAUCCUGAGGGCUAAUAUCCUUCGGGGAUGACGGUACCGGAAGAAUAAGCACCGGCUAACUACGUGCCAGCAGCCGCGGUAAUACGUAGGGUGCGAGCGUUAAUCGGAAUUACUGGGCGUAAAGCGUGCGCAGGCGGUUUGUUAAGACCGAUGUGAAAUCCCCGGGCUCAACCUGGGAACUGCAUUGGUGACUGGCAAGCUAGAGUAUGGCAGAGGGGGGUAGAAUUCCACGUGUAGCAGUGAAAUGCGUAGAGAUGUGGAGGAAUACCGAUGGCGAAGGCAGCCCCCUGGGCCAAUACUGACGCUCAUGCACGAAAGCGUGGGGGAGCAAACAGGAUUAGAUACCCUGGUAGUCCACGCCCUAAACGAUGUCAACUAGUUGUUGGGGAUUC